GCUACUGUCUCUCUGUCUCUCUCUCUCUCUCUCUCUGUAUGAAAGGAUCUGGCUCUGAAUACUUUGGCUAUAGCUGGAUCACGUUCGGACGGCCACGGAUCCGGACCACGGUAACUAUGGAAACAGGUUAGGAGACCGUUUAAGGGCCAGCAAACCUCCAGCAGGGAAAAUAAGAGUCAUCCUCAAACAAGUGUGACUACAUCCUCUCUUCUGCUAGCUGCUGUUUGUAGAGCAAAUCUCCUGUGUGAUUCCUGCAAGAAAAAAGAAGUGCGAUGAAUUCUUCCUCUAAUUAGUUGCUGUUGCAACAAUAUGUCUGCCUUUCUUCAUCUGGGAAAUACUCCGAUCUGAGCAAGAGCAACACAAGUAACUGGACAUCAAGCUGUGACCUUGACCCUUUGCUGAAACUCAUAAACACCUCAGGAACCAACCCACCUUCUACGCCGACAUGUCGCCUCCACCCUCACACCUAACACAUCCACAGGCAGCCCCUGAGACAGAGGUCCAUGUGGUGUUCCGCCACUGUGUUGCAGGCUUACGUCUGUGUGUGUGUGUGUGUAGGAGAGUGAGUGUGUGUCCUUGCCGUUAGCCAGUCUUAUCGAUUUAGAAAGUGUCGGCAGGCUUCAGAAGCAGAUGGGACUGGAAUGGAGUGCUGAUGCCAGUCGCAGGCAAUCAGCAUCAAACCUGUAGCACACUCAAGGUGACACAUCCACUUUACACAUGACUACAUUUUCGAUAUAGUAACACACCACGACAGCUUCACCUGAACUUAUGCUAGCUGGCAUGUUUCGGUGUCUGGAGAGCACUCGACAUACGGUGCUGCUUUACACAACCUAUGCCUUCGAGAUCAAUUUCAGGCUCUGUUUGCUUUGCUUUGCUUUUUUUUUUUUUAGAUCUUCCUUCCAUCACCAUUAAAGUGAUAAUGGAAUAAAAUUGAAUGAAAUAAUGUUGAACAUUAUUAACUCUUGUUUUAAAAAACAAAACGUCUGUAAAUUGAUAUGCAUUAUUAAUU